rnacentral:rRNA from 1 species
UAAUACGUAGGGCGCGAGCGUUGUCCGGAAUCAUUGGGCGUAAAGAGCUCGUAGGCGGUUUGUCGCGUCUGCUGUGAAAGCCUGGGGCUCAACUCCGGGAUUGCAGUGGGUACGGGCAGACUAGAGUGCGGUAGGGGAGACUGGAAUUCCUGGUGUAGCGGUGGAAUGCGCAGAUAUCAGGAAGAACACCGAUGGCGAAGGCAGGUCUCUGGGCCGUUACUGACGCUGAGGAGCGAAAGCAUGGGGAGCGAACAGGAUUAGAUACCCUGGUAGUCCAUGCCGUAAACGUUGGGUGCUAGACGUGGGGGCCUUUCCACGGUUUCCGUGUCGUAGCUAACGCAUUAAGCACCCCGCCUGGGGAGUACGGCCGCAAGGCUAAAACUCAAAGGAAUUGACGGGGGCCCGCACAAGCGGCGGAGCAUGCGGAUUAAUUCGAUGCAACGCGAAGAACCUUACCAAGGCUUGACAUAUAGAGGAAACGACCAGAGAUGGUCGCCCCGCAAGGUCUCUAUACAGGUGGUGCAUGGUUGUCGUCAGCUCGUGUCGUGAGAUGUUGGGUUAAGUCCCGCAACGAGCGCAACCCUUGUCCUAUGUUGCCAGCGGUUCGGCCGGGAACUCAUGGGAGACUGCCGUGGUCAACACGGAGGAAGGUGGGGAUGACGUCAAAUCAUCAUGCCCCUUAUGUCUUGGGCUUCACGCAUGCUACAAUGGCCGGUACAGAGGGCUGCGAUACCGCGAGGUGGAGCGAAUCCCUUAAAGCCGGUCUCAGUUCGGAUUGGGGUCUGCAACUCGACCCCAUGAAGUCGGAGUCGCUAGUAAUCGCAGAUCAGCAACGCUGCGGUGAAUACGUUCCCGGGCCUUGUACACACCGCCCGUCAAGUCACGAAAGUCGGUAACACCCGAAGCCGGUGGCCCAACCUUUGGGAGGGAGCCGUCGAAGGUGGGACUGGUGAUUGGGACU